AUUGAACGCUAGCGGGAUGCUAACACAUGCAAGUCGAACGAGUGGCGGACGGGUGAGUAAUAUCUCGGAACGUGCCUAGUGGCGGGGGAUAACUACUGGAAACAGUGCUAUACCGCAUACUAUCGGAUCUGCCCAUAUCGGAUUAGCUAGUUGGUGGGGUAAAGGCUCACCCAGGCGACGAUCCCUAGCUGGUUUGAGAGGAUGACCAGCCACACUGGGACUGAGACACGGCCCAGACUCCUACGGGAGGCAGCAGUGGGGAAUUUUGGACAAUGGGGGAAACCCUGAUCCAGCCAUCCCGCGUGUAUGAAGAAGGCUUCGGGUUGUAAAGUACUUUUGGCAGGGAAGCGGUAUCUGCAGAAGAAGCACCGGCUAACUACGUGCCAGCAGCCGCGGUAAUUC
rnacentral:rRNA from 1 species